GGGUGAAGCGGAGAAUUUAAGCCCCAGUAAACGGCGGUGGUAACUAUAACCAUCCUAAGGUAGCGAAAUUCCUUGUCGGGUAAGUUCCGACCUGCACGAAUGGCGUAACGACUUCUCUGCUGUCUCAACCACGAACUCGGCGAAAUUGCAUUACGAGUAAAGAUGCUCGUUACGCGCAGCAGGACGGAAAGACCCCGAGACCUUCACUAUAGUUUGGUAUUGGGCUUCGGUGUGGUUUGUGUAGGAUAGGUGGGAGAUGUUGAAGCCUGGUCGCCAGAUCGGGUGGAGUCGGCAAGUGAAAUACCACUCUGACCAUUCUGGAUUCCUUAACUUCGGACCCUGAUCGGGUUCAGGGACAGUGCCUGAUGGGUAGUUUAACUGGGGCGGUUGCCUCCUAAAGAGUAACGGAGGCGCCCAAAGGUUCCCUCAGCCUGGUUGGCAAUCAGGUGUCGAGUGUAAGUGCACAAGGGAGCUUGACUGUGAGACGGACGUGUCGAGCAGGAGCGAAAGCUGGGACUAGUGACCCGGCCAUGGCUUGUGGAAGCGUGGUCGCUCAACGGAUAAAAGGUACCUCGGGGAUAACAGGCUGAUCUUGCCCAAGAGUCCAUAUCGACGGCAUGGUUUGGCACCUCGAUGUCGGCUCGUCGCAUCCUGGGGCUGGAGUCGGUCCCAAGGGUUGGGCUGUUCGCCCAUUAAAGCGGUACGCGAGCUGGGUUUAGAACGUCGUGAGACAGUUCGGUCCCUAUCCGCUGCGUGCGUAGGAAAUUUGUGGAGGGCUGUCCUUAGUACGAGAGGACCGGGACGGACGAACCUCUGGUGUGCCAGUUGUACCGCCAGGUGCAUGGCUGGUUGGCUACGUUCGGGAAGGAUAACCGCUGAAAGCAUCUAAGCGGGAAGCCUGCUCCGAGAUGAGAUUUCCAUCCCUUUGUGGGGGGAGGUGCCCAGGAGAACACUGGGUUGAUAGGCCGGGUAUGGAAGCACUGUGAGGUGUGGAGUUGACUGGUACUAAUACGCCGAUCACUCAUACAAC
rnacentral:rRNA from 1 species